GAUGAACGCUGGCGGCGUGCCUAAUACAUGCAAGUCGAGCGAAUGGAUUAAGAGCUUGCUCUUAUGAAGUUAGCGGCGGACGGGUGAGUAACACGUGGGUAACCUGCCCAUAAGACUGGGAUAACUCCGGGAAGCCGGGGCUAAUACCGGAUAACAUUUUGAACCGCAUGGUUCGAAAUUGAAAGGCGGCUUCGGCUGUCACUUAUGGAUGGACCCGCGUCGCAUUAGCUAGUUGGUGAGGUAACGGCUCACCAAGGCAACGAUGCGUAGCCGACCGGAGAGGGUGAUCGGCCACACCGGGACUGAAACACGGCCCAGACUCCUACGGGAGGCAGCAGUAGGGAAUCUUCCGCAAUGGACGAAAGUCUGACGGAGCAACGCCGCGUGAGUGAUGAAGGCUUUCGGGUCGUAAAACUCUGUUGUUAGGGAAGAACAAGUGCUAGUUGAAUAAGCUGGCACCUUGACGGUACCUAACCAGAAAGCUACGGCUAACUACGUGCCAGCCGCCGCAGUAA
rnacentral:rRNA from 1 species